rnacentral:rRNA from 1 species
AGAGUUGAUCAUGGCUCAGGAUGAACGCUAGCUACAGGCUUAACACAUGCAAGUCGAGGGGCAGCGCAGUGUAGCAAUACACGGGCGGCGACCGGCGCACGGGUGCGUAACGCGUAUCCAACCUUCCCGAUACUCUUGGAUAGCCUUCCGAAAGGGAGAUUAAUACAAGAUGGUGUUUCACUUUCGCAUGUUAUUGAAACUAAAGAUUUAUCGGUAUCGGAUGGGGAUGCGUGACAUUAGAUAGUAGGCGGGGUAACGGCCCACCUAGUCUACGAUGUCUAGGGGUUCUGAGAGGAAGGUCCCCCACACUGGAACUGAGACACGGUCCAGACUCCUACGGGAGGCAGCAGUGAGGAAUAUUGGUCAAUGGUCGGAAGACUGAACCAGCCAAGUAGCGUGAAGGAUGAAGGUUCUAUGGAUUGUAAACUUCUUUUAUACGGGAAUAAAACCAMMWACGUGUAGGUGCUUGUAUGUACCGUAUGAAUAAGCAUCGGCUAACUCCGUGCCAGCAGCCGCGGUAAUACGGAGGAUGCGAGCGUUAUCCGGAUUUAUUGGGUUUAAAGGGAGCGUAGACGGGGGAUUAAGUCAGUUGUGAAAGGCUGCGGCUCAACCGCAGCACUGCAGUUGAUACUGGUUUCCUUGAGUGCGGUUGAGGUGUAUGGAAUUCGUGGUGUAGCGGUGAAAUGCUUAGAUAUCACGAAGAACUCCGAUUGCGAAGGCAGUACACUAAGCCGUAACUGACGUUGAGGCUCGAAAGUGUGGGUAUCAAACAGGAUUAGAUACCCUGGUAGUCCACACGGUAACUGUAAUACUCGCUGUUGGCGAUAUACUGUCAGCGGCCAAGCGAAAGCAUURAGUAUCC